CCAGACCCCAGAAUGGUAGAUCCACUGACAACUUAUACCAUGCACCUGGAAAAGCUGUAGACACUCAAUAUCAGCCUGUGAAAGUAGCCACAGGGUCAGAGCUGCCCAAGACCACAAGACCAUGGGAACCCACCUCAUUCAUCAGCAUGACCUGGAUGUGAGACAUGGAGUCAAAGUAGAUUGUUUUGGAGCUUUAAGAUUUGACUGCCCCACUGGAUUUCAGACUUGCAUCAUGCCCAUAGCCCCUUCAUUUUGGCCAAUUUCUGGAAUGGGUGUAUUUACCCAAUCCUUGUACCCCCAUUGUAUCUAGGAUGUAACUAAUUUGCUUUUGAUUUUACAGGCUCAUGGGCAGAAGUGACUUGCCUUGUUUCAGAUGAGACUUUGGACCAUGAACUUUUGAGUUAAUGCUGAACAGCUCCACCUUGCAGAGAUGCUGUCAAAUAUGCACAAGCUCUUAUAUUAUCAGUGUCUUCCCAAGAUGAAGCCAAGUCCUGAUGAGCUGAAGCUAAGAGUUCUUUUCAUCUUGACAUACUGGCAGCCAGCUAACCCAACCAUGGCCCUAUUUUCUCCAACCAUUACUAAACAUGUGGAUGUGAUGGUGGAGCUGGAAUAGCUGUGACUUGGGGAAUGGAGGCCACAAAUGGCACAGCAACAGGAAGAAAGAAGCCUUGAUCUUUGAUAAGACUCCAUGUUUCAUAAUAACAACAGUUAAAGUAAUUGAGUGCUGCAUGUGCACAAGGACUACAUGUCAGGUGUUUGCCUACUGGAAGCUCAUUUUUUUCCUCACAGCAUCAUGGGGGUGACACUUUAUUUUGAUGAAAAGGAAGCUGUUGCAUAGAGAGAUCCAAUGAGUUCCUGAAGAUCUCACAGCUCAUAAGUAGAAGUAUCAAUAUUCAAACCUAAAACUUGUGUUCAUAUCAUGUUACUUCCCUGAUUCAUUGGCCUUACUUGAAAUUCUGUCUGUUAUUAACCCAUUUGACUACCAGUUUUGGUUUUAAGAACAUUCUUCUUAAUGAAGAAGCCAAGAGCAAAAGAGGAUUUAAAAGUAAUGCUUAUUUUCUAUCACUCACAGAAAUAGCUGAAUUCUGUCUGUGGGUAUACAUUCCUG
rnacentral:lncRNA from 10 species